CCUACGGGAGGCAGCAGUGGGGAAUCUUGCGCAAUGGGCGAAAGCCUGACGCAGCCACGCCGCGUGCGGGAUGAAGGCCCUAGGGUUGUAAACCGCUUUUAACAGGAACGAAAAUGACGGUACCUGUAGAAUAAGGUGCGGCCAACUACGUGCCAGCAGCCGCGGUGACACGUAGGCACCAAGCGUUGUCCGGAUUUAUUGGGCGUAAAGAGCUCGUAGGCGGUUCAGUAAGUCGGGUGUGAAAACUCUGGGCUUAACCCAGAGACGCCACUCGAUACUAUUGUGACUAGAGUUCGGUAGGGGAGCGGGGAAUUCCUAGUGUAGCGGUGAAAUGCGCAGAUAUUAGGAGGAACACCGGUGGCGAAGGCGCCGCUCUGGGCCGAUACUGACGCUGAGGAGCGAAAGCGUGGGUAGCAAACAGGAUUAGAUACCCUGGUAGUCCACGCCGUAAACGGUGGGCACUAGGUGUGGGUUCCAACCAACGGAAUCCGCGCCGUCGCUAACGCAUUAAGUGCCCGCCUGGGGAGUACGGCCGCAGGUUAAAACUCAAAGGAAUUGACGG
rnacentral:rRNA from 1 species